GAUGAAGAACGUAGCGAAAUGCGAUAAGUAAUGCGAAUUGUAGAAUUCAGUGAGUCAUCGAAUCUUUGAACGCACAUUGCGCCCUGUGGUAUUCCGCAGGGCAUGCCUGUUCGAGCGUCAUUUCAACCCUCAAGCUCUGCUUGGUGUUGGGCCACGCCCUCGCGGCCGGCCCCAAAGCCAGUGGCGGCGCCGUCCGGCUCUAAGCGUAGUACAUCUCUCGCUCUAGGGCCCGGCGGCUGCCUGCCAGAACCCCAAACUCUUAUGGUUGACCUCGGAUCAGGUAGGGAUACCCGCUGAACUUAAGCAUAUCAAUAAGCGGAGGA
rnacentral:misc_RNA from 1 species